rnacentral:lncRNA from 1 species
GUGGGCACGUUGUCGUCCAGAGAGCAAGAGCGUCGCUCCCCCUCGCCUUCUCGGCCGCCCUCCCGGUUUACCGCCCCCUGUGUCCAGAGUAAGAAAAGGCUAGGGUUGCGCUUCCCUCCCAAGUUGACUAGGGGUGGGCGCGAGUAAAAUCAUGACAUAUUCGAAUUCCAGUGGACAUUAGAUAUUCUUUGAGAGACGGCAGGUACUUGAGUAAACAAGAAAUGCCCACCAUAGGCCUGAAGGAGAAGUUUCCCUUUUAACCUACUCUCUUGGAUCACAGAUGGAGAGACAUUUUGCCACACGAUGAAUCACACACCACAUCUCAUCCCCGAGCUUCAGCUGCAGGACAAUGCUGCCAGAGGCCUGGUCCUCAGAGCUCACGAUCUUAUCAAAUUUAAUGGGCACAUCUGAAGAAGGAAACUUGCUCAGCACCGUGAGCCCCACAGUGAAAGCACUUUUUGGCAAGACUAGAGUCUCACCGAUUUUCCCUUUCUCUCCUCGAUCUCCUUUCCAGCCUCUUAUUCCCCGGACUCCUGGCUCACCCUGGGGCCCCGUGGGUCCAGCUUCUCCCUUGGGACCAGGCUUUCCAAUAGGGCCCAUGGGGCCCGGUAAACCAGUUGGGCCCAAAGGCCCAAUGUUGCCCCUUGGCCCCUCAGGACCAGUGGGACCCACGUCACCCUUAUUCCCCUUCUGCCCCUGAGGCCCAGUCUCUCCUCGGAGGCCUUUCUCUCCCAUGGGCCCUGCAAGCCCCUUGGGGCCAUGUUUUCCUGGGGAUCCUCUUGAGCCUUGAUCACCUUUGAUGCCUUUUGCUUCAACUUUUCCAUCUGCUCCUAAAUAGAGAAAGAGCAAAUAAAGAGAUAGUUUGUGAAAGA